rnacentral:rRNA from 1 species
AUUGAACGCUGGCGGCAGGCCUAACACAUGCCAGUCGAGCGGAUGAAGGGAGCUUGCUCCUGGAUUCAGCGGCGGACGGGUGAGUAAUGCCUAGGAAUCUGCCUGGUAGUGGGGGAUAACGUCCGGAAACGGGCGCUAAUACCGCAUACGUUCUGAGGGAGAAAGUGGGGGAUCUUCGGACCUCACGCUAUCAGAUGAGCCUAGGUCGGAUUAGCUAGUUGGUGGGGUAAAGGCCUACCAAGGCGACGAUCCGUAACUGGUCUGAGAGGAUGAUCAGUCACACUGGAACUGAGACACGGUCCAGACUCCUACGGGAGGCAGCAGUAGGGAAUCUUGGACAAUGGGCGAAAGCCUGAUCCAGCCAUGCCGCGUGUGUGAAGAAGGUCUUCGGAUUGUAAAGCACUUUAAGUUGGGAAGAAGGGCAGUAAGUUAAUACCUUGCUGUUUUGACGUUACCAACAGAAUAAGCACCGGCUAACUUCGUG